rnacentral:rRNA from 1 species
AGUGAACGCUGGCGGUAGGCCUAACACAUGCAAGUCGAACGGCAGCACACUAAGAGCUUGCUCUUACGGGUGGCGAGUGGCGGACGGGUGAGGAAUACAUCGGAAUCUACUUUUUCGUGGGGGAUAACGUAGGGAAACUUACGCUAAUACCGCAUACGACCUACGGGUGAAAGCAGGGGAUCUUCGGACCUUGCGCGAUUGAAUGAGCCGGUGUCGGAUUAGCUAGUUGGCGGGGUAAAGGCCCACCAAGGCGACGAUCCGUAGCUGGUCUGAGAGGAUGAUCAGCCACACUGGAACUGAGACACGGUCCAGACUCCUACGGGAGGCAGCAGUGGGGAAUAUUGGACAAUGGGCGCAAGCCUGAUCCAGCCAUACCGCGUGGGUGAAGAAGGCCUUCGGGUUGUAAAGCCCUUUUGUUGGGAAAGAAAAGCAGCAGGUUAAUACCCCGCUGUUCUGACGGUACCCAAAGAAUAAGCACCGGCUAACUUCGUG